GAUGAAGAACGUAGCGAAAUGCGAUAAGUAAUGUGAAUUGCAGAAUUCAGUGAAUCAUCGAAUCUUUGAACGCACAUUGCGCCCAUUGGCAUUCCGAUGGGCAUGCCUGUUCGAGCGUCAUUAUCCUCCCUCAAACCCCUGGGUUUGGUGUUGGACUGUGUGGUGCCUGGCACCACUGGUCUCAAAGACAAUGACGGCGUCCGUGGGACCCUCGGUGCAACGAGCUUUUCGAAGCACGCGUCGAGUGGACAGUCUCUCCGGGCCGGUCACCUCUCCAAUUUUUCUCAGGUUGACCUCGGAUCAGGUAGGAAUACCCGCUGAACUUAAGCAUAUCAAUAAGCGGAGGA
rnacentral:misc_RNA from 1 species